rnacentral:rRNA from 1 species
GACGAACGCUGGCGGCGUGCCUAAUACAUGCAAGUAGAACGCACAGUUUAUACCGUAGCUUGCUACACCAUAGACUGUGAGUUGCGAACGGGUGAGUAACGCGUAGGUAACCUGCCUGGUAGCGGGGGAUAACUAUUGGAAACGAUAGCUAAUACCGCAUAAUAUUAAUUAUUGCAUGAUAAUUAAUUGAAAGGUGCAAUUGCACCACUACCAGAUGGACCUGCGUUGUAUUAGCUAGUAGGUGAGGUAACGGCUCACCUAGGCGACGAUACAUAGCCGACCUGAGAGGGUGAUCGGCCACACUGGGACUGGGACACGGCCCAGACUCCUACGGGAGGCAGCAGUAGGGAAUCUUCGGCAAUGGACGAAAGUCUGACCGAGCAACGCCGCGGGAGUGAAGAAGGUUUUCGGAUCGUAAAGCUCUGUUGUAAGAGAAGAACGGGUGUGAGAGUGGAAAGUUCACACUGUGACGGUAUCUUACCAGAAAGGGACGGCUAACUACGUG